rnacentral:rRNA from 1 species
AGAGUUUGAUCCUGGCUCAGAUUGAACGCUGGCGGCAGGCCUAACACAUGCAAGUCGAGCGGUAGAGAGAAGCUUGCUUCUCUUGAGAGCGGCGGACGGGUGAGUAAUGCCUAGGAAUCUGCCUGGUAGUGGGGGAUAACGUUCGGAAACGGACGCUAAUACCGCAUACGUCCUACGGGAGAAAGCAGGGGACCUUCGGGCCUUGCGCUAUCAGAUGAGCCUAGGUCGGAUUAGCUAGUUGGUGGGGUAAUGGCUCACCAAGGCGACGAUCCGUAACUGGUCUGAGAGGAUGAUCAGUCACACUGGAACUGAGACACGGUCCAGACUCCUACGGGAGGCAGCAGUGGGGAAUAUUGGACAAUGGGCGAAAGCCUGAUCCAGCCAUGCCGCGUGUGUGAAGAAGGUCUUCGGAUUGUAAAGCACUUUAAGUUGGGAGGAAGGGUUGUAGAUUAAUACUCUGCAAUUUUGACGUUACCGACAGAAUAAGCACCGGCUAACUCUGUGCCAGCAGCCGCGGUAAUACAGAGGGUGCAAGCGUUAAUCGGAAUUACUGGGCGUAAAGCGCGCGUAGGUGGUUAGUUAAGUUGGAUGUGAAAUCCCCGGGCUCAACCUGGGAACUGCAUUCAAAACUGACUAACUAGAGUAUGGUAGAGGGUGGUGGAAUUUCCUGUGUAGCGGUGAAAUGCGUAGAUAUAGGAAGGAACACCAGUGGCGAAUGCGACCGCCUGGACUGAUACUGACACUGAGGUGCGAAAGCGUGGGGAGCAAACAGGAUUAGAUACCCUGGUAGUCC